rnacentral:rRNA from 1 species
GAUGGACGCUAGCGGCAGGCUUAAUACAUGCAAGUCGUGGGGCAGCAUGAGUAGCAAUACUUGAUGGCGACCGGCAAACGGGUGAGGAACACGUACACAACCUUCCUUCAAGCGGGGAAUAGCCCAGAGAAAUUUGGAUUAAUACCCCAUAAUAUAUUUGAUAAGGCAUCUUAUUAAUAUUAAAGCUUCGGCACUUGAUGAUGGGUGUGCGGCUGAUUAGAUAGUUGGCGGGGUAACGGCCCACCAAGUCUACGAUCAGUAGCUGAUGUGAGAGCAUGAUCAGCCACACGGGUACUGAGACACGGGCCCGACUCCUACGGGAGGCAGCAAUAAGGAAUAUUGGACAAUGGACGAAAGUCUGAUCCAGCCAUGCCGCGUGAAGGAUUAAGGUCCUCUGGAUUGUAAACUUCUUUAUAUGGGACGAAAAAGGGCAUUCUUGUUCACUUGACGGUACCAUAUGAAUAAGCACCGGCUAACUCCGUGCCAGCA